CUUUUUAUAGGUUAAAAAAACCGGGUGCCUGUGGAGCACCAAAUCUGAUUUAGUGAGAAGC
rnacentral:tRNA from 1 species